ACCGUCCUCUCAAGUUAACACACCGUCCUCUCAAGUUAUAACACACCGUCCUCUCAAGUUAACACACCGUCCUCGGAAGUUAACACAACGUCCUCUAAAGCAUAGUGAAAAUACAAUGCUUUAAUUUUCAAAAUACAACAAAAUUUAACCCCUCAUCGUGUAACUACCGUUAUGUCUUCUAAAUAAACCAAAUCUUGAAGAAAUAUCUCCAUUAGAAAGCAUGGUCCUCGGAGGAAGGUGUGGUGUCAUAGUCCUCGGAUGGUAGGUGGUGCAUGUAUGUGUGUGUGUGUGUGUGUGUGUGUGUGUGUGUGUGUGUGUGUGUGUGUGUGUGUGUGUGUGUGUGUGUGUGUGUGUGUUGUGUGUUUGUAAGCCCUGUCAAUUGAACCAGUGAAUAAGAAGGCACACGUGUAAAUCAACACGGGGUCGGCCAAAGGAACACGGAAAUGGUGGUGUUCAGUUGGAUUUUUAUAAAAAUCAGCAUAAAUUCAUUAAAUAGGUCAUCUACCAUCAAAAUCCUGAAGUGUUUACUUAACAGGAUUUAUGAGAUGUGUGUAACAGGUGUGUAAAGAUUUAGCACUCGUUCAUCUUUUUUCCUUGCGAGCAUGGCUUACACACUUUCGAAGCGCGCAUGCUCUGUUUUAAAUGACGUCAUUUGUGAUAUCAUCAUAAUGGAGUUUUCCAGGGAAAGAAGUUGGCCCAUCUGAGGUAAGUAAACACGGUUGAAAGAAAUUUUUUGCAUAUUAUCAAUGGGUUUUUUAUUACAAAGACUGAUUAAAUGGUGUUUCAUACCGAUCGUGUUAUGUACAAGCGACAGAGUACCCGAGUUACUGAAAAUUUCGAUGAUAAAAGUGAUAAAUCUGCGUGAACUGUUUGGUUUUUUUUUUUUCUUUUUAAAAUAUAAUCUUUACAGUUAAUGUACUCUGUAUACUAAGAAUUCAUAUUGAUUUUGGAUAGAAUUUCACAAAAAGAUAUGCGCCAGGUCCUUAGGAAUCAACCCUCCUUACCCCACUCGUACCCCGGCCUCCACACGGCACAUUUUUUGGAUGAUUGGAACGUAUCCCCCUUUACAUCUGUCUCCCUACUUUGAAGUUUUUUUUCCAACGCCAUGACAUAAAUAGAUAAAUAAAUAAAAUGCAAAAAUAAAAACGAAAGAUGUAUAUGUAUUCGGAUUGGCAUGUUCCACUUUGUCCGGGAAGAAAUCCCUGAGGAUGCAAAUGUACAUUACGCCGCACUGCUUGCAGUACGUACAUAGUACAGGCAUACCGCAUAGGUAUGUAACUACUAAGACUAUAAACUAAACAGAAUAUGAUAUGUAAAACUAUUACUCUGAAUGCAUUUUACUUGUUUACAAUGUAGCCUGUCGGGCUGUGGUGUCACACGCGUGGUUUACACGUGCACUUUAGGUGGCAGUGGAGGAAAUUCGAACGAUGUAUGGAUUAUUGUCUCCUGGUAACUUUGGCAGUUACCUUUUGCUGUCAAUCUACUUUUUAAGAAUAAUUCAACCCUCGUUAAUCAUUUCCAAGCUGCAUUUCGAUCUUGGAAGAAUGAUCUUCAGCUACAAUACAAAAUUAAGGGAUGAUGUUGUGUACUGAGUUUUUCUCGAUUGUUUACAUCUGUGAUUGUUUAUGUGAUGUAUAAACUGAUCAAGCUGUACAGUGUCAUGACAUAUAGUGGCAUAGCUUCCAUUUAUAUGUUUGCGCAUCAUUUUGUCAGAAGAAGAAAUUUCUAAAAUUAAGAUUUUUAACAUGUAUAUGAUUAUAUGUGUUUGUUUGAUUUUAGUAUAAUACCUGUAGAGAAUAUUUCAGUAAUAUGAAGUGCGACACAUUUAGACGCAUGCAUGUGGUGUUUAAAGGUCUCAUCUGAAAGACCAGCAACUUUCUCUUUUGAAUGCUAAAUAAGACGAUGGAGCAUUCACCUCACUACCUACAUUUACACCCUAAAUAAAGUACAUUAGCAUGGCUCGAAACCAUGAUUUCUUCUUCAUGAAGCAAAUGCUCUGUUACCACUGAGCUACCAUGACCAAUUUUUUAACAUGAAUUCAUAGCUAAAAAAUUUAAAAAUUUAUAACUAAUUUUUUGGUUAAUUCCAUAAAUAUUAUUCCUCUCUCUAGACACAAUUCUGGGUAACCCCCUGCCUUUGGGGAUAUAAGCACAUCAUUUCUUUCAGAAUGGGACAAUAUCAGGAGAGCUUUUGUUAUUUUUUAUACUCUUAGUGUUAAUGGCAUCUAUGAACAACAGGAUAAUGUUUUUAGAUUAUUAUUUCUGAUAUCAUAUUUGUAAAUUGUUUAUGAGGGGUUGUUAAAGUUUGUGGACAAAAGGACACACUUAUUAAAAAUUCAAAGUUAUGAUAAGUAAAAAAUAUAGGAGAUGUGUAACAAGAUUGUAGAUUUGAACAUUUUAAAUUUAAUUAAUUUUUAUAAGUAUUGAUUUCAGAUACAUGUAUGACAUUGCAUUCUUGAUCGGGGAGGGGGGCUACAGUUAGAUAAUAUUCUGGUCAGCACAUUCGAUAAACUACAGUUUUACAUGGAACUCAUUAAAUCACUUCUUUUUCUUUCAGUGGUCUUCAACUUUUAAUCUCCAAGAAGGAAAUGUAAUUAAAAGAUGAAUAAAGUAUCCCUAAGAAUACCAGAAGAAAGGCUGUGUUAAGAAAAACAGCCCUUCCUCAGUACCUCAGAACUAGAUGAUAGCCCUUGUUACUUUAUGCUGAAUAUGACACAGUAUAGAAGAUCUGAUCAUGAAGAAGUUACACCAUUGAUACACUUGCCAACUGCCAAAACUACUUUCUGAUAGUAUGACGAGAUUAGAAGAUAUCAUGGUGUAGUCAUGACACAAACUGCAAAUCAAAGAUUGUCUUCCCCAGAGGAUGAACAGAGUGCUUCACAUGGAUAACAUUUCCUUUUCGAGUUUUGAAAUUAUCAAACAUAAUUUUGCAUCAAAGAGAAAAAGUGGCUUUGACAUAACCUAGAAAAUACAAUAUUCAUUAAAAAGAGCAUGGCACCAGGAUAGCUAGAUGCCCAUAUUCCCAGCAAAAUGAGCCAGUCCUAAAGAGAGUCCACUAGAGAUGAAAUAAAACUCAUUAAAAUGUAUUGAGAAAAGAUUUGUCAGAAUGUUAUGCAUCAUGAUCAACAGAAAAAACUUCACAGGUAGACCAAAGUUGACAUGGGAUGAGAUCCUAAAACGAGACCUAGAGUUUAGAG